rnacentral:snRNA from 1 species
GUACAUAUACUAAAAAAAAAAUUGGAGCAAGGCCCAAUUUUAGCAUGGCCCUUGUACAAGGAUGACAUGCAAGUUUUUGAAGUGUUCCACAUAUUU